UAGGGAGACCUAAUCCAUUUAGAAAUCGAAAACAAUGAAAAUUGUCAAUAGAAACUAAAUUGGUCUAACCUAGGUCGUUCGAGAUUGGUAGACAUCUUUCAAAGUAUUGUUCGGCUUCGUUCAAAACCAUAUAUAAUAAAUGGAAAAAGACAGCACCUAAUUGUCAAAGUUAGACUGCUGGAUGAAAUUCCAGCCAGAACCUUGAAAACUGCAUAAGAGAGCGAGAAAAAGCAGGCAGACACAGACAUUUAGAUGGAUGUGAAAGCAAAAGAAAUUGU
rnacentral:misc_RNA from 1 species